rnacentral:lncRNA from 1 species
CUUCCUCUCUGCAAGUCCUCACCUUCACUAUAUAGUCCUCAAUGUGUCUUUGAAUCCCUGGUACCAAGUAGUUUUUGCCAAAUGAUGGAUUAAAGAACAAAAGUAAAUAAACAACAACAACAAUAGAAAUAAAGAGUAAGAUAUUCAUGAAUAUUAUAGUGAAUGAAUGUGGCUGUUUCUGGACUCAAAUGUCUUUGAAGGGAAAAGACGCAGAUUCAUUUCAACAAAUAUUUAUUGAGCGCCUCCUAUGAGAAGCCUGUGUGCCGAGUGCUAGAGGGGUACAAAGACAACCAGGACAGGACUGGGAUUCCCAGCCCACACUGUACCCACACCGAACCUAUUGAUGGAACACACAGGUGUGCAUAGCCCCACACCUGCAACCUUGAAGCCGCAUGCAUAUGGCUCUGGGCCUAAUCCAUAUGGGCUCCUGCUUUGCCAGGAAGAGCAGGAGCCGGCCACGCAGCCCAGCUCUGGCACUGGGCCCUGAACAGAGUCAGCCACCAAACUUUUGGAAAAGCUUGUCGCUUCUUGACAAAAACGGACAGAUGCAGCUGACACCAACUCCCCCUCCUCUCUCACUGCCUUCAACACAGAUGUGGCGCAGCUGUGGCCAGCCCUUUUGCAUGAUGGGGCAAAGGAAAACAUGCUGAGGAUGGCAAAGUGAAAGAAGAGAGAACCUGGCUCUCAGUAACAUCCCAAGCCGCUGCACCAGCACCUGGAAGCAAGCACCUACCUUCAGUGCCUUGCUAUUAAGGAAACAGAAAGCUGUUUAAGUCCUUGUUAGGUGUUUGCAGAUGCAAUCAAGAGAAGAUGGGAUCAACAGGCUUGGCCCUAAUCCAACAUGACUGAAGUCCUUGUGAGAAGAGGUGCACCCCCAGCGCAGAGACAGAGAAGACAGCCACAUGAAGAUGCAGGCAGAUAUCAGAGAGAAUCAUCUACCUGUAUUCUGCGCCUUGAACCUGCCCUUUACCUGCGGCUUGCCCACAUCAGAUCCUGAGGUUCCUGCCUGCUUCUGUCCUUGGAUAAAUGGGAACUCUUACUCUCAUAUCUGGCCACUUUCACCCCUACACAUGAUAACAAGAAGAAAGUAAAGAGAGCAACUGGGGGGGAAGGGGGAGGACAGAAGCUGAAACACAGAUGGUUUCUUAGUGUCUCA